CUCGUUGGGCUAUAGGACCCAACAUUGUGGAGGCCUUUUUGGCUGUUCACACUCCGUGGAGUGGAAAUAAGACUUUGCGUCUUACAAUUGGAGGCCCCAGUGAGAUGCCCAAGUGGGAACUGUAAAUCCGACUGAGUUUCUCUGUUGCGGGAUCCAGCAGGAGAUUCUCAGACAUAGACCUUUGAAAGCCUCCGGAGGGAUGGGAGGAUCUGGCACCAAGAACGCCCAGCUGGAUUGCUUUCUCUCUUAUUUUAAAAUUGGCUUUUCCCCUGAGCAGAGGAUGAUUACAGGGUUAAAUUCUCUCAUGGAAAGCUUCACUCCCUGUGUCAACCCAAGUCCCACUGGAGCAAGUGACUGCCCACCUCCUCGGAAGGGAAGAGGCGCGUCCCCAGGAUUUCCUGGGUUCCCUUUCUAGGACACGGAGGCCAGCUCACCGGUAGUGGAACAGAAAGAAGGAAAAUGAAUGAAAUCAUCUGUCUGAAUGGCAAAUCCCAGUGUUUCCCCUUUGGAGGAGGUCAAGCUGCAUCCCCUCCCUGAGAUGUUAAGAUCACAGGUGUGGAGGAGGUAAGGGACAAGAACAAAGUUGUUUAGCUUUACUGCACUGGAGGGUACAGAUGGGAAAGCAUGAUGGGACUCAGGAAAAAAAAGAUGAA